GCAGCAAAGAACUUUUUUUUUUUUUUUUUUUUUUUUUUAAUGAAAAAACUAAAGUCAUGUAAAAGUUAAAACCAUGUAUUUAUUCAUUGAAGUUUAGUUCCGAGUUGGCCAGGUCCGCUGAGGGGUGAUUCUGGGACCUGGCUGGCUGUCCACGACUGGAGCGGGAUCCUCUGAUGCACUGAAUGGCAGAGCGUAGGAGAGAGAAUGUAAUUCUGCUCCUUAGCCAGGACAGUGUUCUACUGUAGCUUUCAUUAGAUUUGAUUGCCAAGUUUGAGGCAAGCCUUUUGUAGAACACAGUGGCCUGGUUGGCCAUACCACCUGUGGCUGACAUCACCAAAGGAGUGAAUGAGGCGUGUUCGAUAUCUCUGACGCGUUGUUCGUAUUGUCUUUUCUUUUCAAGUUCAUGCUUCCUGUAGCAGUUGGUGUGUUGGUUUGAUUUUGCAUGGGGAUUAAACAGAACUGCACUUUGCUCAACGUAAUCAUUACGCAUGCAUGGUAAACACUUCAUACAUAGAAGCUGCUACGAAGCAUAAGCAAGGCAAGCAGGGGUCCUUGGGCACAGAUUUAGCACCACAGCAAAACACAAGUAGAGAGAGAUGCCUUCGCUUGGCGAUUUGUAUAACAAUUAGGAAAUAUGUGUGGGCGUAAGAUCACGAUUUAAUUACAUUCCAUUGGUUUUGUGAGCAAUCAACAUUCCAUUUUGAAAUGACUUCAUGACAAGAGUGCUCAGACGGUGGUUCCAAAAGAACGGCGGCUGAUUCAUGAGACUAAGUAAGUACGUGGUAUCUGAUCCGAGAACUGUGUGGCCUGUUACAAUCCGAGGGACUUGUGUGUAUCCGAUCCGAGGGACUUGUUGCUUGAGUGUGUAUUCGGACUUGUUGCUUGAGUGUGUAUUAAUGGAUAGUGCUUUCAAUGGUUUAACUAAUUUCUUAUGAGAUUAACUUGUCGCCUGAGUGUGUAUCCGAUCCAAGCCUCAAGUUAAUGAAUAAAUCUACAGAGCUGAUGUUUUAUCUAGCUGUCUCUGUCUACAGUAUAUGCAGAGAGGUAGCCUCUUCUUUUUCUUUUUUUUAUCACAAUAAGAUAAAAUACUGUUUUAACGUUCAAUGAGAUAAAUACGGUAAAUAAUAAA